CCCGAGUGCCCCCACCACACCUCAGCCACGCCGAGCGGAGCUCUGGCGCGGCCCGCGGGGGUGGCCGGUGGGGGGAGGCGGCCGCGGGAACCUCUGUGUGCUCCCCCUACCAACUGCCCCCAAAAGCCCGGGGCUCCGGAGCCCCUCGGGCCGCACUGCGCCGCUCCUGUCGCCGGUUCCCGCUGCCCCUCCGCUGCCGACUCGGUGAGCCCCCCCGGAAAGUCGCUUGCUUUUAAUGCAGAAAAGAGCUCCAGGCCUGAUCUCGGGCCGUUCCCCUCCCGACACCCCGUACCCGGGACCGAGACCAGGGGGUGGGAAGCGGCUCGGGGGCGGCUCGGCUGUGCGCUUCGGCCCGGCUGCGGUGCUCGCGGGGUGAUGGCUGCGGGCAGCCGGGGGCCGCGCUCUGCUCAGCCCCAGCCCGGCGGCUGCUGAUCGCCUGCGGACGGUAAAGCACCACCACCCCCCUCCAACUGGGAGGGGCUGAAAAAAUUAAAAAAUAAAGUACAAUUUUAAAAUAUUUAAAAAAAAAAAAGAGGGGUUAUUUCUUUCUUCCUGUGCAGAUGGGAGGAAUGCGGCCUCUCGGUUGGCCCCGGCGCCGAGAGGGUUAAGGCUCCCACACCCCUCCUCUUCCAUGAGGCCGGAGGGAAAGCAGAGCUUCCCUGGUUGCUGAGCGGCUGCGAGAGCUUCGCUCGCUCAGAUUUCGCCCUCCUAAGCAACUUUUUAGCGUCUGCACGAGAGAUCGGGGCGUGCGGCAAGCCUCCCCCGUGGCCCGAAGAGCCAGCUGAAGGGAGAAGGCAGGAGGAAAAGAAUGGCAGCGCGACUGCGGAGCCCACACGUCCUCUCCCAAGCCUGCGGGAGCCGCUCCAAGGCGUGUGUGCGUGCUGCGAGCCCCGUGUGCGUGUGCAGGGGAGGCUGUGUGGGUGUGCGCGCCCCGGGGGGGGGGGGAGGGGGGGCGUGCGCUGAGUGCAGCGCAAAUCCGUGAUCCAGCAGCUAAAGCCGCGGAGUCUCCUUGCACCCCGUGCGUGCUGGGCUGACAGCGGUGCUCGUUGAUGCUGUGCAGGAGGGAGCGGGGUCAGCACGCACCACAGCCCCGCACACCGAACCAGAGUGACUCCGUCCUCUCGUUGCGUUUCCUUAUGGCACUGCAGGUCCGAGCAUCCCUCCUCCCAAGCACCUCCAUCUCCUCUAGCCGCAGCCUCCGCUCUGCUCCCAGCCCUCGGAAGGCAACACGCAGCCGUGGCCGGGCUAUGUUUAUCCGAAAUAAAAUGCAGUGGGCUCGUUUACUUUGGCAGCUUUGCCGUAAAUACUCGGGGGGCGGCGAUGACGCGCUUAUUCAGAGCGCUGCUCCCCCGCCUGUGCGGGCCCUUCUCGAUCCCAGAGAAAGGUGUCAGGAGCUGGGGCCGGUGCUGGCACUGCUCCAUCCCAGAGCGGCACUGCAGGCCGCGGGCACAAUGAAACGGGUCCCUAUGGGGCGAGUCUGUACACUCAGACCUCAUGAACUCCUGCGGGGGAGGGAAGAGGGUCACCGCGGCAGCUCUUUGCCUUCCCUUCGGCAGAGGGAACAGCCGGCACUCGCCGCCUGAAUUUUAGCGAAAGCCUGACCUGAACGCUUUGCAAAAUAACCUGCCCAGGUCUAAAGGAGUACGGCGACGGAUUAGAAAUACAAGCAGGAAAAAAACCCAACAACAAAAACUAACCCGGCACACAUUGCUCUCUGUCCAGGCCACCGGUCCUCUUUCCUGGGACUUGCAGGGCUGGACGGAGCUGGAGACACUUUUACACACACCUCCUCGGGGCACCAGAAAAAAUACAAGUGAAGAGCGUGGUUGGAGAAAGGUUCUCAUCCUCCAGCCGUCUCUGGGGUGUGUCCCUGCGGGAAAGGCUGCAGUGUCCCGGCACGGCCCGGCAAAGCAUAACACGGCCCAGCCCGGCUCGGCACUGCCCGGCCUGGCACACGGCCUGGCUCCUGCUCGCUGCCAGCCCGGCAUCCAGCUGGGACAACAGGGUGCC
ensembl:lncRNA